GGAUGUGAGGGCGAUCUGGCUGCGACAUCUGUCACCCCAUUGAUCGCCAGGGUUGAUUCGGCUGAUCUGGCUGGCUAGGCGGGUGUCCCCUUCCUCCCUCACGGCUCCAUGUGCGUCCCUCCCGAAGCUGCGCGCUUGGUCGAAGAGGACGACCAUCCCCGAUAGAGGAGGACCAUUCUUCGGUCAAGGGUAUACGAGUAGCUGCGCUCCCCUGCUAGAACCUCCAAACAAGCUCUCAAAAAUGCCCAGGCCCAAAACCAUUACAGUAAUGUCAGUGGAAGCCACACCUCCAGUUGUUUUUUUAU
rnacentral:snRNA from 1 species